GUAAAACUCAAAAUUCAGAAUCCAAAAAGUUGAUCGCAACUCGCAAGGAAACUCUCAUUCUCUCUCACCGUGACUGUUUGACCAGGCUACUUAAGAUGAGUGACGAAGAACCUGUGGUAGAUCUUCAUGAAGUAGAAGAUUAUCACGAUUUGAUAGAAGUAGAUGCAAUAGAAGACGUACUUGUUAGUAUGAGGAGUUUUAAAAAAAAGCCUCAGAAGCGUAGGAAGACAUCGGAUGUUUGGAAUUAUUUGAUCCCCUUCCUAGUACGUGUCCAAAUGAUGACAAGCUGCGGGCCAAAUGCAAGUAUUGUGAUGCUAUAUACGUGGUUCUAGGUGCAUAAGGUACUGGAAAUCUAAAGCGUCACAUAAAAAAAUGCUCGAGGAGAAAUACACGCGAUGUUGGGCAGCUGCUCAUGUCCCAAAAUCAAGGGUCUUUGUUUUUGCCUCAGAAUCCACUUUUAGUGUUGGUGGGCGUGUAAUUGAUCAAUUUAAGAGUUCACUCAAGCCAGAUGUCGUUGAGGCACUAGUUUGCACUAGAGAUUGGUUAUAUGGAGAGCAAGAACACACACAAAUGAAGUUGGAUGAACUAGAAGAAGAUAUUAUGACAAUGGAUAUCAAUUCAGAGGACAUUUCAUCUAGUUCCAAAUCUGUUAUUAUUCCUUAACUUUGUUCUCAAAGAUACAAUUUCAACUCUGAAAGUGCAGUAAGCCAGUAAGUAGUAUGACAAUCCAACCGGUCAAUUGUGGAGCUAGCUGGCUGAGCCUCAGCCAAUGAUUAAAACCUAAUUUUGGGCAUAUUGUUAUGAUAUGAUAUGAAGGCUUAUCAUCCUUAAGCUUAAAUUUUG